rnacentral:rRNA from 1 species
AGCGAACGUUAGCGGCGCGCCUAACACAUGCAAGUCGCACGAGAAACGGAGCAAUCCGCGGUACAGUGGCGCACGGGUGAGUAACACGUGGAUGACCUUCCCUGGAGUGGUGGAUAACCUGCCGAAAGGCGGGCUAAUACAGCAUGGGACCACGACGCUUUGGCGAUGUGGUGAAAGCGGGCCUCUAUAUAUAAGCUCGCGCUCCGGGACGGGUCCGCGUCCCAUCAGCUAGUUGGUGAGGUAACGGCUCACCAAGGCAACGACGGGUAGCUGGUCUGAGAGGAUGGCCAGCCACACUGGAACUGAGACACGGUCCAGACUCCUACGGGAGGCAGCAGUGGGGAAUCUUGCGCAAUGGGCGAAAGCCUGACGCAGCGACGCUGCGUGGGCGAAGAAGGCC